rnacentral:rRNA from 1 species
UACGUAGGGCGCAAGCGUUGUCCGGAAUUAUUGGGCGUAAAGAGCUCGUAGGCGGCUUGUCACGUCGAUUGUGAAAGCCCCGAGGCUUAACCUCGGGUCUGCAGUCGAUACGGGCUAGCUAGAGUGUGGUAGGGGAGAUCGGAAUUCCUGGUGUAGCGGUGAAAUGCGCAGAUAUCAGGAGGAACACCGGUGGCGAAGGCGGGACUCUGGGCCGAUACUGACGCUGAGGAGCGAAAGCGUGGGGAGCAAACAGG